UCUCUCUCUCUCUCUCUCUCUUCUUAACAAGUUCGUGGUGAGAGCCAGCCACCAAGGGGAUGAAGGGUUUGUGAUUUUGGGGCGCUUUCACUUUUCUUAUUGUAUUCACUUUUUAUACUAUAUGAAGAUGACAUAUGUAACCUUACAGUGUACCGUUGCAAGUACACCACAUAUAAUUGAGUUUGCCCAAAAUAGUGACUACACCAUCAAGUCUUGGUAUUAUAUAUUAUUAUUUUUAUAUCAUUUCUUCUGUUUGUAUCUGUUGAGCAAGUCUUUCUUUAUCAUUUCUGCGGUAUAGCAUCUCUAUGUAACUCUCUCUCAGUGUUUGUAUUGUAUCUGCCGAGAAAAUCUCACAAGCGCAGCCAAAAAUGCUGCUUACAGCUCUGAGCAGUUGGGUUUUUGUGGAAAAGAGGAGGCUCAUUGAGGUGUUUCCGGAGCCCGUUCAGAAACUAUGGAAUCUUUGGGAGCUAAGAGUGAUGGUUUUGAUCAGCCUCACCUUGCAGAUUUCACUUAUUCACUUUGGCAGCCGCAGGAAGUAUAACGUCAAAACCGAAAUAAGAGUCUUCCUCUGGUUUGCCUACCUAAUGGCAGAUUGGGUAGCAACUGUUGCUCUUGGUGUCCUCUCCCAGAACCAGGGAAAGUCCAGCAGCUGCGAUACCAAAGGGGGUUCUCCAGGAGGCGACAAACUAGACGACGAGCUCUCUGCUUUCUGGGCACCGUUUCUUUUGUUGCAUCUUGGCGGCCCAGACACAAUCACAGCUUAUGCUUUGGAAGACAAUGAGCUGUGGUUGAGGCACUUGCUUGGACUGGCUGUUCAAGUAGGCGUUGCACUAUACAUCUUUCUUAUGGCCUGGAAGACUAGCUGGCUUUCAAUUCUUACUAUUCCCAUGCUUCUUUCUGGGCUUAUCAAGUAUGGAGAGAGGACAUUGGCCCUGAGAUCAGCAAAUCGCGAAAAGUUUCGUGAUUCAAUGCUCACUCGUCCUGAUCCGGGACCCAACUAUGCAAAAUUCAUGGAGGAAUUUUCUUUGAAGAAAGCUGAGGGAUACAAAGUGAGUGCUGAAGAUGUUGAGGUUCAAGUUGGGGUGGAUGAGGUUCGUGAUGCAGUUGCAGAUGUUCGUUCCAAUUCUGAACCAAGCAUAGUGGUCAAAUCGCAUGACUUGUUCAAUACUUUCAAGCGCCUAUAUGUAGAUCUCAUCCUUAGCUUCGAAGAUCGAGAUGGUAGCCAAAUCUUCUUCCAGAACCUUGACUCCUCUGAAACUGCCUUCAAGGUAGUUGAGGUUGAACUUGGAUAUGCCUAUGAUGUAUUCUACACCAAGGCUCCAAUAAUUUACACUCGCCGGGGUUGUUUCUUCCGCACCGUCACUUUAUCCUCCACCUGUCUUGUGUUUGUGCUCUUCCUGAUAAAUGUGAGGCACAAGCACGCACUCACUGAUUUAAUUACUACUUACAUAUUGCUGGUUGGAGCCAUUAUCUUAGAGAUCUAUGCGUUGGUUUUGGUAGUUUCCUCUGAUUGGACGACACUUUGGCUGAGCAAAACAAGUUGGUACGGUAAACCACCCUCUUCACAGCCUCCAGGUAUCCGAAGAACUCUCUCUUCACAAGUAACCAGUGUGGUUCAACUGGCUAAAAGGCAGAGGUGGUCAAAUUCAAUGGCUCAAUUCAAUUUGCUUAGCUUUUGUCUCAAAACUAAGCCUUUAAUUCGUCGUGAAAGCCCAAAAUCUGUUUGCAUGCAGAAAGUGUUAGAGAUGAAGUUGUACAAAUUCCUAAACCAAAUCUCUGCUUACCUAAAGCAGUGGCUCUUCAGUCACAUACUGCACAAGUUGGAUGAAAAAUUGGAGAUGUUCUUGUACUUCACUCGUGAGCCGAUCUCCAAUGAGUUAAAAGAACUUAUUUUUCACCACUUCUUACAAAAAUCGCAAACUAAGGGAAAGCUUACAGAGCUAUGUGCCGGUAGAGGGAACCUUGUCCUUGAUCAGUAUAAGUUCCCUGAUUUCAUGACAUGGACAACAGAAGUGGAAUUCGACCAAAGCAUACUUUUGUGGCAUAUUGCCACAGAUCUCUGCCAUCACUCUGAUGCUACAAAAACUUCAGCCACAGAAUAUUUGCAUCGUGAGGUGAGCAUGCAAAUAGCAGAUUAUAUGAUGUAUCUUCUUGUCAUGUGUCCCUUCAUGUUACCUAUAGGAAUCGGACUGAUCAGGUUUCAAGACACCUGCGCUGAGGCCAAGGAAUAUUUUGAACAAAGAAAUCGCACGAGUUCAGUUAAAACUGAAGCUUGUGAAAUGUUGCUUCGCGUAAGCACCGAAGUAAAGCCCGCCAAAGUGAAGGGAGACAGAAGCAAAUCUGUAUUAUUUGAUGCAUGUAGCCUUGCAUCAUCACUUAAUAACCAAAAAGAAAAGAAGUGGGAGAUACUGAGCCAAGUAUGGAUUGAAAUUCUAGGCUAUGCAGCUAGUCAUUGUCGAGGGAAUUUCCAUGCUCAACAGCUUAGAAGAGGCGGGGAGCUUCUUACUCAUGUCUGGCUGUUGAUGGCUCAUCUUGGAAUCACAGAACAACUUCAGAUAUCACAAGGACAUGCGAGAGUGAAGUUGAUUGUGAAGUAGCAAAAGCUUGUCUCAAGCAACGACAUAAGAAGUUUGGCAAUGGAGGGUUGUUAGCUCCAUUUGCUUCCUGCAGUAGACUACCAGUUUUAAGGACUCUUUCUGCCGCACAACAACAAUAAGUUCACUUUCUUCUUCAGCCAAAUUUACAGUGACCAUUGAUUCUUGGAACCACUCCAUCACCAUUUUGUUUGCGACGCUGCGACUCACGUUCACGUCUAUAAACAUAUAGUAAAACAUCAAACAAAUGAACAAGACAAGUUUCAUUACAUAAUGUACUAAUCACUGGUGCUGCAAUUUGCUGAUCAACUUUGAGGAUUGCAGCAGGGGUUCCAAAAUAGGAGAAAAACAAGAAAGGUUAAUGUUGUUUCAUUUUUUUCGCUGGGCAAGUGAACCACAUGAACUGAUGUCUCUGAUCCAUAUCUGCUUGUUGGACUUGAGGAUAAAGUGUUAGAUUAGAUUCCUUGCUCAGGGUGGGUGCAGUUAAAGAGGAGAACAGAGAACCUUAAGACGAUUCGCCAAAUUACAGAAUUAAUAUGUGAUGCAGAGGAUAGAUAUUAUUGACCUGUUUUUCAUUAGCAUUUAAAGCAAAAGAGACUCAGAUUUCUAUUUCAUGUUCCUCUGGUUCUUAAAACUUCCUGUCCGUGUUUCUUCUGAAAGGUGUGUUUCAUGUAAGCGUUUUCAUCACUUCUAAGUUUCACAUGAAAUGCUAAAUUCAAGUGGAGAUACAGAAGCUUGAUACAGACUGAAUUGGUCAGGUUUGUGACUGCCAGUUUCAACCAUUGACGUCAUAAGUGCAUACAAUGUAGCGAAGUGAGCAAUAUGAAAAACCAAAGAAACUGACAGACAACAAUUCUUACAGCCCAGAAAGCAACCUCUUCAAUGCAAAUGCCACAGUGUAGCAAAGGAUUUAUCUUAUGAUUAUUCCCCAGUAUUGGUUUUCAUUGAUGUUAUGACAGCAUCUGAUUUCCAAUUAUGGAGGUUCUGCAUUCCUCUAGGUUUUCCAGCACCCGGUCUCAGAAUUCAAAGUGAACCAAAUGUACCUUGUUCAAAAGCCCAAGAUAGACUUGAUACCGAUACCUGGAAAAGUAGUAGGUAUGCUCAUCAAACACAGAUAUGUGGCAAUGGCGAUCAUUUAUUGGAGCUUCAAUAUCGUUACGCUGCUCCCAGGAGCUUGAUGAGCGCUGCUCGACUCAAGAAGCUGCACAAUCUUUGGCGGUAGCCAUGUCUCUGGGUUCAGUAUUGACGUUUUAAGGCUGCACUGGAGGUAUUACCAUUGCUCCGUUUGAAUUCAUUCCCUUCGCAAAUCAUGAUGGCACCAAUGCAGGCACCCAAGUGCCCAGCAAUACAACUUGGAAUAAUAUUCAUAAUCAUUCCUUCUUCAUAAAGAUCAUGAACAUAUAUGAAGAUCUUUUGUUGCCUGGACCAAAUAUGGAACCAUUCUUUUUUUUUUUUUAAAUACCACUUAAACUUUUAAACAUGUUUACAAUUAUCACCUAAUUUUUUAAUUUUA